rnacentral:rRNA from 1 species
AUUGAACGCUGGCGGCAGGCCUAACACAUGCAAGUCGGACGGUAGCACAGAGAGCUUGCUCUUGGGUGACGAGUGGCGGACGGGUGAGUAAUGUCUGGGGAUCUGCCCGAUAGAGGGGGAUAACCAUUGGAAACGGUGGCUAAUACCGCAUAACGUCGCAAGACCAAAGAGGGGGACCUUCGGGCCUCUCACUAUCGGAUGAACCCAGAUGGGAUUAGCUAGUAGGCGGGGUAAUGGCCCACCUAGGCGACGAUCCCUAGCUGGUCUGAGAGGAUGACCAGCCACACUGGAACUGAGACACGGUCCAGACUCCUACGGGAGGCGGCAGUGGGGAAUAUUGCACAAUGGGCGCAAGCCUGAUGCAGCUAUGCCGCGUGUAUGAAGAAGGCCUUCGGGUUGUAAAGUACUUUCAGCGGGGAGGAAGGCGACGCGGUUAAUAACCGCGUCGAUUGACGUUACCCGCAGAAGAAGCACCGGCUAACUCCGUGCCAGCAGCCGCGGUAA